rfam:Myotis brandtii contig245432, whole genome shotgun sequence.
GGACAGGUAGCUUAGUUGGCUAGAGCGUUGUCCUGAUAUGCCAAGGUUACUGGUUUGAUCCCUGGUCCUAAUCU